UUGCUUCAUUUUUUGUGUUUUUUCAUUAUGACUUCAUCGCUGUGAGCAAGAGUUUCGAAAUACAUCGACCGGCCGCGGUCGCGCCUCGCUUGGUCCCUCCGACAGCGUUCAACGGUUGUUACACCGCACAACACCACCUCGAAACCGCCCGACGGCGCGACACCUCGACCGAAGUGAUCCAAAGGCGGACGGCGCGCGCACGUGUCUUACCACGCCCGCGCAUCCCUCCGCCCUUCGCAUGACAAAAGGGCGGGUAUCCGGCGCCGAAGCGCCAAAUGACCUCAGUAAUGAUCCUUCCGCAGGUUCACCUACGGAAA
rnacentral:misc_RNA from 1 species